rnacentral:rRNA from 1 species
ACGGGGUGCAGCAGGCGCGAAAACUCCGCAAUGCGCGCAAGCGUGACGGGGGAAUCCCAAGUGCCGUUGGUCUUAUGAUCGACGGUUUUUAGGAAGUCUAAGAAGCUUCCAGAAUAAGGGCUGGGCAAGACUGGUGCCAGCCGCCGCGGUAACACCAGCAGCCCAAGUGGUGACCACGAUUAUUGGGCCUAAAGCGCUCGUAGCCGGAUCAGCAAGUCCCUUGUGAAAUCGGGCCGCCUAACGGUUCGGCGUGCAAGGGAUACUGUUGGUCUUGAGGCCGGGAGAGGUCGGAGGUACUCCUGGGGUAGCGGUGAAAUGCUCUAAUCCUAGGGGGACCACCAGUGGCGAAGGCGUCCGACCAGAACGGACCUGACGGUGAGGGGCGAAGGCUAGGGGAGCGAACGGGAUUAGAUACCCCGGUAGUCCUAGCUGUAAAGCAUGCGGGCCAGGUGUCUAGCGCUCCUUGAGGGCGCUAGGUGCCGGAGGGAAGCCGUUAAGCCCGCCGCCUGGGAAGUACGGCCGCAAGGCUGAAACUUAAAGAAAUUGGCGGGGGAGCACCACAAGAGGUGGGACCUGCGGUUCAAUUGGAUUCAACGCCGGAAAACUCACCAGGGGCGACAGCUGGUUGACGGCCAGAUUGACGAUCUUGCCCGACUAGCUGAGAGGUGGUGCAUGGCCAUCGUCAGCUCGUACCGUGAGGCGUCCUGU